GAUGAAGAACGUAGCGAAAUGCGAUACGUAGUGUGAAUUGCAGAAUUCAGUGAAUCAUCGAAUCUUUGAACGCACAUUGCACCUCUCGGUAUUCCGGGAGGUAUGCCUGUUCGAGCGUCAUUUGUACCCUUAAGCUCUGCUUGGUGUUGGGUGUUUGUUCCGCCUCUGUGUGUGAACUCGCCUCAAAACAAUUGGCAGCCGGCGUACUUGUUUCGGAGCGCAGCACAUUUUGCGAUCCAGAUCAACGUACAGCGGCAUCCAAGAAGCCUUAUUUAACGCUCUUGACCUCGGAUCAGGUAGGGAUACCCGCUGAACUUAAGCAUAUCAAUAAGCGGAGGA
rnacentral:misc_RNA from 1 species